AACAUGUUGGUAGAAAGUCAGGUUCAUUAAUCAUCAGGGAAGCAAGGAGAGCUGAGGCGAUGCCGUAUUGAAACCACUUUUACCUUUUACAGUGCAACAUCCAAAAGCGGAUCAAUUUUGUGGGACAUGGCACAAGGAAAUAAUUAUGGGCAAAGCAGCAAUGGGGUGGCUGAUGAAUCCCCAAACAUGCUGGUGUACAGAAAGGAAGAGGCCUAGUUUUCAAGAUUUUUAUAGUUCUACUAUUUCUACUCAAUUGAG
rnacentral:lncRNA from 1 species